rnacentral:rRNA from 1 species
GAUGAACGCUGGCGGCGUGCCUAAUACAUGCAAGUCGAGCGAACAGACGAGGAGCUUGCUCCUCUGACGUUAGCGGCGGACGGGUGAGUAACACGUGGAUAACCUACCUAUAAGACUGGGAUAACUUCGGGAAACCGGAGCUAAUACCGGAUAAUAUAUUGAACCGCAUGGUUCAAUAGUGAAAGACGGUUUUGCUGUCACUUAUAGAUGGAUCCGCGCCGCAUUAGCUAGUUGGUAGGGUAACGGCUUACCAAGGCGACGAUGCGUAGCCGACCUGAGAGGAGGAUCAGCCACACGGGGACUGAGAAAGGGUGCAGACUCCUACGGGAGGCCGCAGGGGGGAAUAUUGGAGAAGGGGCGCAAGCCUGAUACAGCCAUACCGAGUGGGUGAAGAAGGACUUCGGGUUGUAAAGCCCUUUUGUUGGGAAAGAAAAGCAGCAGGUUAAUACCCCGCUGGUCUGACGGUACCCAAAGAAUAAGCAACGGCUAACUUCGUG